rnacentral:rRNA from 1 species
CCUUUGACGUUAGCGGCGGACGGGUGAGUAACACGUGGGUAACCUACCUAUAAGACUGGGAUAACUUCGGGAAACCGGAGCUAAUACCGGAUAAUAUUUAGAACCGCAUGGUUCGAUAGUGAAAGAUGGUUUUGCUAUCACUUAUAGAUGGACCUGCGCCGUAUUAGCUAGUUGGUAAGGUAACGGCUUACCAAGGCGACGAUACGUAGCCGACCUGAGAGGGUGAUCGGCCACACUGGAACUGAGACACGGUCCAGACUCCUACGGGAGGCAGCAGGG